rnacentral:rRNA from 1 species
AUUGAACGCUGGCGGCAGGCCUAACACAUGCAAGUCGAGCGGAUGAAGGGAGCUUUCUCCUGGAUUCAGCGUCGGACGGGUGAGUAAUGCCUAUGAAUCUCCCUGGUAGUGGGGGAUAACGUCCGGAAACGGGCGCUAAUACCGCAUCCUUCCUGAGGGCGAAAGUUGGGGAUCUUCGGACCUCACGCUAUCAGAUGAUCCUAGGUCGGAUUAGCUAGUUGGUGGGGUAAAGGCCUACCAAGGCGACGAUCCGUAACUGGUCUUAGAGGAUGAUCGGUAAAACGGGAACUGAGAAACGGUCAAGACGCCUACGGGAGGAAGCAGUGGGGAAUAUUGGACAAUGGGCGAAAGCCUGAUCCAGAAAUGCCGCGUGUGUGAAGAAGGUCUUCGGAUGGUAAAGCACGUUAAGUUGGGAGGAAGGGCAGUAAGUUAAUACCUUGAUGUUUUGACGGUACCAAAAGAAUAAGCACCGGCUAACUUCGUG